UACGAAGGGGGCUAGCGUUGCUCGGAAUCACUGGGCGUAAAGCGCACGUAGGCGGGUUGUUAAGUCAGGGGUGAAAUCCUGGAGCUCAACUCCAGAACUGCCUUUGAUACUGAAGAUCUUGAGUUCGGGAGAGGUGAGUGGAACUGCGAGUGUAGAGGUGAAAUUCGUAGAUAUCGGGAGGAACACCAAUGGCGAAGGCAGCUCGCUGGGACGGUACUGACGCUGAGACGCGAAAGCGUGGGGAGCAAACAGG
rnacentral:rRNA from 1 species